rnacentral:lncRNA from 1 species
CUUGAAAGACGGCAGUGAAGGAAAUUUCUCCCAGUGGGCAGAACUUCAAACACAGCACCUGGAGACACACUGGCAAAGGAAAUAACCAGAGGUCUCUCUUUGCCUUCUGCCAUCCAUGUAAGAUGUGACUUGCUCCUCCUUGCCUUCCACCAUGAUUGUGAGGCUUCUCCAGCCACAUGGAAUGGCAAGUUCAGCUGUAUUGUGGAAAAAAGGAUUUAAGCAAAGAUUGAACCUGGUGAAAUGCGGA